UACGUAGGCAGCGAGCGUUGUUCGGAGUCACUGGGCGUAAAGAGUGCGUAGGCGGUGUUCCAAGUCUGUUGUGAAAUCUCCCGGCUCAACUGGGAGGGUGCGGCGGAAACUGGGACGCUGGAGUACGGGAGAGGUAAGCGGAAUUCCUGGUGUAGCGGUGAAAUGCGUAGAUAUCGGGAGGAACACCAAUGGCGAAGGCAGCUCGCUGGGACGUGACUGACGCUGAGACGCGAAAGCGUGGGGAGCAAACAGG
rnacentral:rRNA from 1 species